UGCUCAGCAACUCCUAUUCCUACCUCCUCGUGGUACCGGCCAGAAACUACGAGCAACCUUAGGGAAGAUCGGGUAACCAACCCAGGUAGGAAUUUUGAUCGUAGGCUGACAGGGAAGA
rfam:Aedes albopictus isolate Foshan contig156031, whole genome shotgun sequence.